AAUUAAAGGGGCAGUGGCAUGCCCACCCUGGAGGGGCUGCCCUUUCGGGCCAGUGCCAGCCAAGGAGGUCUGUGAGGACUCUUGGAAGGGGGGUGUUUUGAAGGGGAACAAUCCGGAGAUUCAAGAGGAGACAGAGGACUGAGAAGAUCGUGGAGGGGUGGGGGUAGAACUUGAGGCAAAAAUACAGAGAAAGUGGAUUUUCUGGAGCAGUCAGUCACAGAAUUAGAGACAGGAAGAAGCCAUACCGCUAAUCCCACUCUAAUUUUGAAACAGAGUAGACCUAGAGAAAGCAAGCAGCUUGCUCAAGGGCAUGUACAGAUAGUGAGAAGCAGAAAGGGGACUGUACUCAGGUUUCAGUCCAAUAUCCUUUUCUAAUGGACUUCUAGGCCUGGGCUUGGAUGCUAGUUCUUUCCUUUAUUGGCUCUGAAAUAGUGAAGAAGUCACUUACGUUCUCUAAACCUUAGCUAUGAAUCUGCAAAACAGGAAUUUAAUAAUGGUCUAUAUUGUGAGGAUUAAAUAAAAUAAUAUUUGUAAAUUUCCUGGCACAUCAUAAGAGUUCAAUAAAUGAUGAUGAUAUUGAAUACUUCCACUUAUUAUUAUAAUUAAUGGUAUUAUUAGUAAUAGCACCUUACCAGGUGAACCUUCCUAGGGAGAAAAGGAAGGUUACAUCUGGGGAAGUGUUCCUUUCUAAUGCCAGAGAACAGUUCCAUGGUUUUCUGAACUGACCAUGUCCCAUAACUGGGAAGGGCAAACAAGGCUUGCCAUCUUCCUAGAUGUCCAGUCCACCAAGCAGAGAAAGGCCAAGCCCAUUUGGGCUUCUUCCCCCUUUGCCUAGAAAAAUACAGCAAGCGCAGCUUCCCCCAGGCCACCAGGAGAAUGCCUGGCCCCUCCGGGGUGGUUCCACUCUACCUGUGCGAGGGCUUAGGAUUCCAGGGUCACAGAGCCGGGCUGGGUGGGGUCACAAGAGGAAGGAACAGCGUUCUUAGCCUCUCUGGCCUUGGUGCACUUGUCUGCUCUCAGGACGUUUCUUGAUGGCUCUCCCUGAGGACUGGGAGUACCCAGGCUGGUGCCUCCACCCUAUCUUAGCACAGGCUACUGACUCAGCCCAGGUCCUGAUGAUGCACCUCAUUCCAGUCCUCAUUCUGACUUCAGUCUGACGUGCAUCUGCAGCAUCAAAAGAGGGGGGCCUGCCUCGACCUUAGCCCAAUCAGCUCUCCUUUCCUCCGCUUUACAGGGGUCCAUCUGGGGGAUGUUCCCAUGUUCGUUCCAGGGGAGGUGGCACUUACCUGCCUCUUAUUGGAGGAUGGACGAGUCGAACCGGGCACAAGCAUGGAGCUGCUGGUGAGACCCGGCUGGCGCUGGCAAGGCGCAGUGAGCAGCAGCUGACGCAGAGGACUCCCCGGCCUCUGCUCCUGCCUGUCUCUCCCCCACCUCAGCCGGGGGCCCAGAAGGGACCUCCGCGGGAAAUCGGCGCCACCCAGCGGACAGCCGCCUCAUCAUUCCUGAGCCGGCAGAGCCACACCCCGCGUCUCGCGUCACUGAGACGCGUCACGGGUAUUGGCUUGUUCCUAUUAUGGUGUCACUACAACCCGGCCCGGCUGGGGUCUCCCAGGCAACCGAUAUACACAGAGAACCACGUGGAGGAACAGCACGCGAGUUUGGAGCGGGUGGAGCAGGAACAGAGGUGGACUGGAAUGUCACACGACGGGGCAGCUGGAAGCUAUUGGGAAAGGAGAGGGGUCAUGGAAGAAGGCUCGGAACUUGAGCCGGGGCCUAUCAACUUACAGUUUUUAGGGAAGGCUAAACGUCUCCUACUCCCCUUCUCACCGGGCUGGGGGAGGUCCCGUUCCUCAGCCUCUUCUUUUUUUUCUCAACUCUCAAAGAUACUCUCCGCUCAUUUUACUUCCGCGAGACCAGGAAUUAGUGAUGAGUGCCUGAAUGGGUACACGAAGGCACUGAGUCGAUGGAAGGAAUUCUCUUUGGUCUUUGAAGAAAAAGCCGAGACAAAAUUUGAAUUUUUGCCACUCCCAUUCAUUUUAUGUAAUUUUAUCUCCACUUCCCCGAUGUUGAUGAGGAAAACCGCCCCACCAGGUAGGUGGGUACAAAGGCAAAUCAGGUUUUCAACUUCAGCUAUUCCAUCAGUCCUUGCGGGUGCCCUUAACUCCUUCCAUCUUCACAAUAGAGCUCUCUCUCCAUCGCUACUCUCCUCAAGUCCUUCCUUCUCUUCUAUUUCCCGGAGAAAUCAGACUCGAUCAGGAGGGGAAUACUUAAAUUUCUACCUACGAACAUGUCUGACUCCAUUCUUACCAGGAGCAGUGAAAGAGGCACCCCUAUUAUUAUCCAGGACCAUCAUUCCCUUCUUGAUUUCAACCGUUUUUUUUUUGUUUGAGACAGAUUGUCAUUCUUGUUGCCUAAGAUCCAGGCUGGAGUGCAAUGGCGCAAUCUCGGCUUACUGCAACCUCCGGGUUCGAGUGAUUCUCCUGCCUCAGCCUCCCAAGUAGCUGGGAUUACAGGCCCUCACCACCACACCUGGCUAAUUUUUGUAAUUUUAGUAGAGAUGGGUUUUCACCAUGUCGGUCAGGCUGAUCUUGAACUCCUGACCUCAGGUGAUCCACCUGACUUGGCAACCCCAAAGUACUGGGAUUACAGGCAUGAACCACUGUGCCUAGCCCCAGCUAAUUUUUUUGUAUUUAGUAGAGACGGAGUUUUACCAUGUUAUAUUUCCUUAGGGCCCUCAUUUCAUCAUUUCAUUUUACAGAUCGAUAUUGGACAUGCCAGUCACUCUUCUAGAAAGUGGGGAUAUAGCAGGGAACAAAACAGGAACAAUCCCUGCCCUCAGGGAGCUUACAUUCUAGUAGAAGCAGGACAAUAAAUAAGUAGAGUAUGUAAUACCUUAGAUGGUGCUAAGAGCUAUGGGGGCACAUUAAGCAAGGAGGAGGUGUCUUCAGAGAAGGUAACAUUCAAGCGACCUGAGGGAAGCUAGGCAUGAACCACACAUAAAUGUAGAAAAAGAAGUUCUAGGCAGAGGGAAGAGUAAAAACAAAGGUCCUGAGGUGGGAGCAACCUGCCACUUUCGAGGAAGAACAAGGUCAACGUGGCUGGAGUGAAGAGAAAGACAGGGGAAGAGUGGGAGAUUCGAUCAGAGAGAGAGAACAGAUCUGAAGAGAGCAAAAGCGGGAGACCAUUUAGGAGGUCAUUGCAUGCGUCUGGUUAGCAUGGCAGCAGGAGAGGAACACUCUCCACACCAUGCUGCUGCUGCCGCCGCUGCUUUGGGAUGCAGGGAUGGCGUCAGCGAUUCAAGAUUGUGUUUCCUGCCUCCUCAGCUGUGAGAUCUCUGUCACGCAGGCUGGGAGUGCAGUGGUGUGAUCUUGGCUCAUUGUACGUCUGCCUUCUGGGCUCAAGUAAUCCUCCUACUUCAGCCUCCUGAGUAGCUGGGACCAUAGACAUAUGCCACCAUGCUGGGCUAAUUUUUUUUUUUUUUUGGAGGUGGAGUCUUGCUCUAUUGCCCAGGCUGGAGUUCAGUGGUGCAGUCUUGGCUCACUCUAGCCUAGGUUCAAGCGAUUCUUCUGCCUCAGUCUCCUGAGUAGCUGAUAUUACAGGUGUGUGCCACCACACCCCGCUAAUAUUUGUAUUUUUAGUAGAGACAGAGUUUCACCAUGUUGGCCAGGCUGGUUUUGAACUCUGGCCUCAAGUGAUCCACCCGCCUCAGCCUCCAAAAGUGCUGGGAUUAUAGGCAUGAACCACCACUCCUGGCCUAAUUUUAAGACUUACUGAAGUGAAGCCCUAAAGGGGAAAGAGACUAGAGUCCUUUAGUCCAUGUUCUUACCAAAUUCAGGAACCUGCUUUACUGCAAACUUGGCAGGUGGCCUCCACCUGGCCAUGCCCACUACCAGGCACUCCCUGGCACUGCUGGACAGCUCCAGCCAUCACAGCGCCUUCUUGGCACGGAGCCUCACUUGGCCUCCUGGAGCCCUUGCACUGGUCCUGCACCACCCUCCAUAUGAUAUGUCUACAUCCACAGGUCCCUCUGACCCCAGUUCUUCCCUGUGCCGGGCAAAGAUGCCUCCUACAGGUCUGCACAGGACAUGUUUCUCCUUGACUGUGUUGGGGACAUUCCAGGCCCACGAGUGUCCUGAGGCCGAGAGUCCCUGUUGAGCAGAAGAGAGCUGAUGGCUCUCUUGUCUGGCCAGGACUCUCUGAAGGACUCUAGCUCCAGCAUUUUCUCACCAGUGACAGUGAUGAUUUACUUUUGACUUGGGAUUUGUUUCUUUCACAUGUAAAGACAGGCAUGUCCUUCACAGCAUGAAAGCUGCAGAUUCAGAGAGGGACAUCAGGUGAGGAGGUGGGAGGGAUGCGUGUCACAGGUCCCCGGACGCUGUGUAGAUUUCUUGGUUGGCCAAUGAAAGUCCCCACGUCUCAUGGAGAUCCCUGUGCCCUUCCCGAGGAAGCCUCUAGUGUUAGAGAUGCAGAUGUUUUGUGUCUCAGUGGACAAUCCAGUCCAGAAAUGGGGGUGUGGAGAGGGGUGUCUGUUGCUCUUGAGCAGGAAUUCCAUGGCCCCAGGUAUGGACUUAGGUGCUGAAGGGGGACCCAGGAGAGAGGUGAGGACUGGCGAGGGGGUGGAUGGGGAGGGGCCUGGGCAUGUGCGCCGGAACCAGGGCUGGCCCAGCUCUCUAUAAUUACCUGAGUCACCACAGACAUCCCACAACCUCCACAAGGCCUGCUGACUUGACCAGAGAGGGACACAUGGCUGUCUUGGCCUGUGGCUGAAAGUCUGCAGGCCCCCAGCCCUCAGCAAGGUCAUUCUGGGUAGGUUUAUUUUAUUCUUUAUUUUUUUGAGACAGAGUUUCCAUCCUUUGCCUAGGCUGGAGUACAGUGGUGUGAUCUUGACUCACUGCAACCUCUGCCUCCUGGGUUCAAGUGAGUCUCCUGCCUCAGCCUCCUGAGUAGCUGGGAUUACAGGUGCAUACCACCAUGCCCAGCUAAUUUUUGUAUUUUCAGUAGAGAUGGGGUUUCGAGACUAGUCUUGAACUCCUGACCUCAAGUGAUCCGCCUCCUCCCAAAGUGCUGGGAUAUAGGCGUGAGCCACCAUGCCCAGCUCUGGGUAGGUUUGUGUUGUGAGGCCUGAUACCUGUUCUUCUCUUCUCCUUUCCUGAACCCUGUGGCCCUCUGGUGGCCUCUGUGGCUUCUUGAGCUAACCUUACCCACUCUGGGCCUCAGGUUCUGCUCCCUUAAACCUGGCUGCAGUGGGUGACACAUCUCCCAGCUAAGAGUGUGUCUGCUCAGCUCUUCAGGGACCCUGUAUUAGAGUGUGACAAAAACCCUAUAGGAGGUGUCAUACAGAUGCGAGGCUUCACACAGUGCCACUCAUUCCCUUCCAGAAAGACCUCCAUACUCUAAGUCUUACUCCCUGAGGGUGGGGCGCCCCACAUUUCUCUGGCAUUUGAUCUCCCUUCCCCCACAGUGGCUCUUCUCACCAAGAAGCCUUUCCUUGGCACAUUGCUUGCAGCCCAAGCAGGGGUGAGGGAGAGGGGCCUGUCUCAGGGGUGUUCCUCUCUUCGGGGAGCUGUGGGCUGGCAGUAUGUUGCUAAGUGGUCGUCAGCCUCCCAGCCCGGGACACCGACAGCUCCUCCUCCUCUCUUUGCGCAUGGUAACUACAGGGGUGGCAGGCAAGGCAGAGAGGUUGAUGGGAGGUAGCAGGAGUGAGAGCCGGCGGCAUCAUUUAGAUCUGCGACCUUUAAGAGAAACUCUUAGAGCAAUCGUUCCACCCAGUGCUAAAUGUCAGAUGAGUCAGCCUCUGGGUAGCUGUCACCUUCCUCCCCCAAAUCUCUGGCAAAGCAGGGAGGCUGGCUUGGGGCUGCCUCUCUAACUCUGACAGCAAUUGGAACCCACAGCUAUCCUGCGGUCGCCCUCUAGCCCCCAAUCCCAGGAUGCUCGCUUCCAUUUUACUCUUCACUUUUAGGGGAGGAGCCAGGAUAGGGCCCAGUGUUCCCUCCCUACUCCCAAAGGACAGUAUUUGUCCCCAGUCCUUUCUCCGGCCAAUGCUUCUGGAUUUUGGAAGUGAUGCAUCGAGGACACGGGUGUCUCCCGUGGAACCUCCUCCCGUGCUCACCCUGGCAAUAGUGGAUGAGCCUGGAGGAGACAUUUCUGAAGAACUACCAGAGCUGAGAAGAAAAAGCAGACUGCACAGCUCAGCGCAGGUUCACGCAAAGCCACCUGUGUAUUCCAGAGCCAGGGCCACGUGGCUCAGCCCAUGUGUUGGCAGGUGAGCAUGCUGUUCCAGCCAGGCGAGUCAGCACACAUGGGAUGUUCGCUUAUUUGGGCAAAUGUGUCUCCUAGGGUCAUUCUGGAAAGAAGCCCAGCAUCUAGUCGUUAGCCCCCAGGGGCAGGGUCGCUACUAAGUGGUUGGGGAGAAGUCAGGGAAGCGGAAGAAGAGGUGGCGUCUCCCAGCCUCAUCCGUGGAGCCCCCAUCGAAGUGGGGCAGGCAGGCACUGCUGGAGGAGCGAAGGCCAGGUGGACACGAGAACAGAUUCCAGAGGCUUGGUUUUAUUGUGCAGUUUUCUUUUUCCUCAAUGAGAUGCCGUAAGCUGUGGUGGAACUAUACACAGUCACAGAACAGGAAGAACCGCCGGGUGGGGGCGGGGGGUUGGGAAAAGCCAUUUCCCGAGAAGUGUCCGGCUCCUGGGUCUUACUCCAUGGCCUGCCUCGUGCCCCACAGAGGUCCCUGAGAAGGCAGGCCUGCGGGGCAGGGGGCUGUCUGAGGGGCUCGGGCACGAGCCAGCAGGGACUGGCACUGAUAGGCGAGGGGAGGAAGUGCCUCCCUUAGAAACUUGGGCCAAACCCUGUGCAGCUCUGGGACUCCACCCUAUCUGACUUGGAGGCUGUGGGUCAGAGCUCUGGAAGCCCUUGGGAGCUUGGGACAGCCUGAGAGGGUCUUGCCCUCCUCUGCAGCCCUCUCCACUGCAAGCGGAGGCAGAUGGGGGGCAGCAGGCCCACACUUUUAGCUUCCGUUGCCAGGGAGGGAUGAUGAACUCUCAUCCUUUACCUCCUCCAACCCUCAUCUAGCAUUGCUCUCCUGGCCAAAUCUGCAUCUUUACUGGGUCAUGCCCCAGGGCCCCUGGGGGACUUCCACAUCGGUAAGGAGGGUUGUUUUUUUUUUUUUGGUUGUGGCUGAGAAUGCUGGAGAUGCUCAGUUCUCUCCCUCACAAGGUGGGCCACAAAUUCUUGGUGGUG